rnacentral:lncRNA from 1 species
CUACAGAGAACAGCCCAGUAAUAUUGUUUUUUAAUUUGGUAACAGUUACGCUAUAUGAAAUUAAUCACCCUUGGUUCAUGACAUUCUCAUCAUGCCCGUCAUCUUUGACCUUAUUUAUGUAUUGAUUCAUGUUUAAUAAUGUAAUAAACAACCAUCAACCAACCACCCAACUUCAAAACAACAACACUAAACAUUACUCACAUUGGUUGGUUCAUGGCUCAUUUUCCACAGAGGUCACAAUCAAGAUCUUCAUCGACAAAGU